GUGUGUGUGUGUGUGUCUGUGAGUCACUCAUCUCUGAGCUGGAGCUGGGAGCUGUCGAUGAGAUGAGUGGAAAACCUGUCAGAGAGUGAGGUGUCAGUUAGACACAACCAUUGCCCGAGGGAAUUGUGGGUGAGAAAUGUUUUGUCUCUCUGCUGGAUUUCACCAUCCUCCUCCAACCAGGAUGGACCUGUUUAUAUAUGUUCAACCUAGCUUCUGUUCCACUACCCUCCCUUAAUGUAUUUUACCAUACAGUUUUUCAUCUUUUUUUCUGAGAAGCAGAAACAUGAACAUGAACAUUUUUCUGUCCAUAUUCAAAGUUAAACGCUAAUCUACUUCUAUAGUUGUAAUUAAAAUUUGAGCACCAUACCAUUUUAACCAAUACUAUUUUGUUAGCGUUCAACUACUACAGCUUCUUAGCUAUAAAACCCCCCAGCAGUGCUGUAGCUGUUGAAGGCUAACAAAAAAAUCAUUGUUUUAUCAAAGGUAUCCAGUUUUACAUAAAAUAGCAUAUGUCAAGUACAAUAUUUCAGGUUAUUGGCUGAUGAAAGUAACCCUGCAUGACAAAAACAUUGUCUGGCCAAAGCUAGUGGCACAGCUGCUAGCUUAGAAAGUGGGUUGGCUCUCUAUAAAGCCAGUGUUACACCAAAUUCUGUGACCCAUAAGAUUAUGUGACAAGAAGAGGAAAUUUAACUAUAUUGACACUGCAGAUGUUUAUAUCAUACUUUCACAUACGUUAUUUUGAUAGGUGUUACCAAAAAUGGCGCUCCCAUAGUAUUUAAUUGGGUCGCAAAUGUUGCUAGCUGUGGCAGAGUUUCUGCUAUCACAGCUAGCAGCUAGCUAGAAAAAGUGUCAGCUAUUGUCAGGUCUUGAGGUCUACAAACAGCUAGCUGUGGCAGAGCUAGCUGUUUGUAGACCUGACAAUAGCUGACACUUCACCUCUAGUGUCACAGAAUCUAACGGGUCACAAAUUUCGGUAUGUUGAAAUCACAGCUAUCAUUUUUGGAAACACAUAUCAAAAUACAAUAUGUGAUAAACUGUGAUAAUAAAAAAAAACAUUUGCUGUGUCAGCAUACUGUAGCUGAAAUUCCUAAUCAAGUCACAGAAUCACAGAAUUUAGUGUACAUUGGGAAUUUAUGAAGUUGCAGGAUUUAGGUUGACUUUUGGUGUUUAUUGGCAUUUUGCUGUUUUAAAGUUUAUACCCACAGUAUACAUAAUAUGAUUUGUUAUAUGUCAAUGUCAGGACAUAAUCUUAAAUGUCUGAAUAUUCAUGAGGAAGGUUUACAUCCUUAACUGACUGCUAUACCUGCAUACUGCCCCUUAAUAGUUACACUGACUUAUCUUACUGACAACGUAUAAACUAGUAUUGUGGAGAGCCCUUGUUGUGACUUGAUGCUAAUGUGAUUUGCUAGGAUUACAGACGAGGUAGUUAAGUAGGUAAGUUUUAAAAUACAAAUGGACAUAUUUAACAAUACUGUACAGGUAUUGGCUGUUUCAGUUUCAGUCAAGAAAUAUCAUUAUCAGCUUUAAUUAGUACAGUCAAAGUACAUAUCACUCACCCUAGUAUCUAUCUAAGUUUUCCCAUGUAUUUGAAGGCCGUAACAUCUAAAAAGCGAGUGGCUUGCAACAGAAUUUCAAGAAUGCUUCACAUAUUUUUUUUUCCUUGCUGUAAUAUCAUAUCUGACCUUCAUCCAAAGUGACUGUAAACAUUUCCUAGAACGCACCAGAGGGAACUGAAACCCAAAACGAUCUUGAUCUGACGCCCUGAGGCACAAAGAAGCAAUUACAGACACAAAUUACGCUUGUUAUCGCAAAAGUACACUUUGCCUUUCCUUUGCCUGAAUUCAUGUUGCUGUUUCACACAAGUGAGAGAGUCCUUGAUGAGGCAGUGAUACUGAACCCUCUUUAAUAUGCCUGUGCGUUUCACUUGGAGAGACAGAGAUAAUGACUGUGCAGCUAUGGGUAUGAAUGCACACAUUGGCAUUUCCUCCCUCCGGAAACACAGCCCGCAAUCAAGGCCUGAAACACUGACUCAUCAAGACACAUACUGUAGGGAGAGAAAGGAUGAGAAAGAAAGGAGAAGAGGAGAGAACCAGAGAACCAGAACUUGUAAUUUGUUCUGCACAUUUAUGAUUUCUUCAGUGUCAGAUGUUACCUUAAUAAGAGUGUGUAGAACACUUCAAAGGGUUUAAUGUGGUCCCUGGUGCAGAUGUCAGUGAGGUUGUGGAAAGACAUGAGCUGCUUCUUUUACCCACUGCGGAGAGGGCGGUGGCGAGGAAAAGACUUAGCGAGCUGUGGUUAUUUUUCUCCUCUGGAACACCAGCUGAUGCUGAUCUGCCAUACAAGGCCAAAGAAUGUCAAAUAUGAGGGAGGGCAGGGAGUGUAUGAAGCAAGCUCGCUCGCCUUCGCAUCUCAGGGCGCACACUUUUGCUUUAUGUGCACGGUUGUGAGCUUGCAUGGAGGCAAACGCAGACAUCCACAUGUGCGCACACACACACAAAUAUUGAAGAAUCAACAGUUCCCAGGCCUCAGGAGGUGGAAGCUAUGCAAACUCAGCUGCUCUGACUUACAGUAAGCAAGUAAGCUCUUUGGCUUAACCACAACCUGAGUACAGAUCUGUUUUCUUUUCUUCCAGAGAGCUGAGCUAAGACCAUUUGCACAGACCCCCAAGCACUGAGACGCCAUUGACUCUCUUCCUUCCUACGGUGACACUGGCGGUUUAAAACCCUUGAGGAUGUUUCGCCUGGAUGUGGCUUUAGUAGAGAACACCACCACAGUCGGAGGACAAUGGAGGAGGUGGUAAACAGGACGGUGAGAAAGAGAAGGACAGAUGGGAAGACACGUUGGACUGAGACAAAGGCUUUCAUUGAUCAUCUCCUGUUAAAACCAUUUGGGAAAAGACAAUAAAUCAACGUGUUUAAAAGUAAUUUCAUGAAGAGAUGCUGAGGAAUUGCUUGUGAUUUCUCCAUGUUAUAUGGCUCUGUAUGGGUGCCCAUCCCCCGACAGUCCCUGCAGUGAGAGCAGGCAGGCUGGUAAAGUUGGGGGCAGGGCGACUGUCUUUCUUUCAGUCUCUAGAGCCUGCUGACAGCUGCUCGGGGAGGCCUGGGGCUGCUGCUUACUGCCGGGCAGAACCACAGCCACAUCCUGGAAGAUUCAGUGCAGAACUCAUGCAUGCUCACGGCCACGGACGACCACAAACUGGAGCAACCUGAAAUAAAGACAGCUUUGACAAAGAAGUACCUAUGUUUACUCAAUCUGUCCACUUGUGUUAAUAUUUGAGGAAUCCUUGUGCGGCUGCACGGGGUGGGAGAGAGACAUGACACACAAACGAACACGGUUUAAAUGUUUAAAGUCCAUCAUAACUGACGGCUGCUUCCUGUCGGGGCCCGGACUGUGAUUACCCAGGUCAGAUGGCUUGACCCACCGGGUGUCAUGUAAAUUGUCAAGUUGAACAACACCCAGAUCCUUGAGAAAUGUAUCUAGUCUCUUCCUGGAAUUGCGUGGGUUAAUUAAGGGAAAGGCUGCAUAUUUGGCAACCAUAAGAGAAAAGAAAUUCACAAAUUGCACAAUGUGACUAUUGUUGAAGAACAUCUUAAUGCUGCUAUGUCCUUCAUCAGAAUUAGAAUCACUUUGAUGGCCAGCACGGACACAUACGGACAUUUUACAGCGCAAGUUUCAAUACUUCUUUUCACCUUCAAGCUGAAAAUUUUUAAGAAAUUAAAGAAAACGACCCAUAUAUAAAGUGUUUAGUAUCUGUAUUACAAUAUAAAGACAAAGAGAAAGAGGGGGAGGCUAGCUGCUAGUGAAUGUAAAUGAGAGACUGAAGUCAUCAAACCCCAAAUGAUUAACUUGGAUCAAUAAAACGACCCAAUUUAAAAAGCCUGGCCAGCAAACUUAGGCUGUCAAUACAGAUGACAGGGGUGAGAAAUGACUCUGAGGCAUCAAGGACAAAGGAGGAGACAGCUCUCCCAUGCGGGGCUCUGGAGACACGCCAAGGCCUGCUUUUGAAGCCACCACGCCAUUUGCCUGGCAACUCCAGUGACAGGUGGAACACGUCAAAUAAACGCAGACACGUCAGCCUGGAUGGUUUUCAUUUUCUUCAUGACUGUAAAGCUUAGAGGAGCACAUUUUCACACACUAAGAACAAAGAUAUGCACCGUGGUAAAUAAAGUGGAAAAU